rnacentral:rRNA from 1 species
AGAGUUUGAUCCUGGCUCAGGACGAACGCUGGCGGCGUGCCUAAUACAUGCAAGUAGAACGCUGAAGGAGGAGCUUGCUUCUCUGGAUGAGUUGCGAACGGGUGAGUAACGCGUAGGUAACCUGCCUGGUAGCGGGGGAUAACUAUUGGAAACGAUAGCUAAUACCGCAUAAGAGUGGAUGUUGCAUGAACUUUGCUUAAAAGGUGCACUUGCAUCACUACCAGAUGGACCUGCGUUGUAUUAGCUAGUUGGUGGGGUAACGGCUCACCAAGGCGACGAUACAUAGCCGACCUGAGAGGGUGAACGGCCACACUGGGACUGAGACACGGCCCAGACUCCUACGGGAGGCAGCAGUAGGGAAUCUUCGGCAAUGGACGGAAGUCUGACCGAGCAACGCCGCGUGAGUGAAGAAGGUUUUCGGAUCGUAAAGCUCUGUUGUAAGAGAAGAACGAGUGUGAGAGUGGAAAGUUCACACUGUGACGGUAUCUUACCAGAAAGGGACGGCUAACUACGUGCCAGCAGCCGCGGUAAUACGUAGGUCCCGAGCGUUGUCCGGAUUUAUUGGGCGUAAAGCGAGCGCAGGCGGUUAGAUAAGUCUGAAGUUAAAGGCUGUGGCUUAACCAUAGUAGGCUUUGGAAACUGUUUAACUUGAGUGCAAGAGGGGAGAGUGGAAUUCCAUGUGUAGCGGUGAAAUGCGUAGAUAUAUGGAGGAACACCGGUGGCGAAAGCGGCUCUCUGGCUUGUAACUGACGCUGAGGCUCGAAAGCGUGGGGAGCAAACAGGAUUAGAUACCCUGGUAGUCCACGCUGUAAACGAUGAGUGCUAGGUGUUAGACCCUUUCCGGGGUUUAGUGCCGUAGCUAACGCAUUAAGCACUCCGCCUGGGGAGUACGACCGCAAGGUUGAAACUCAAAGGAAUUGACGGGGGCCCGCACAAGCGGUGGAGCAUGUGGUUUAAUUCGAAGCAACGCGAAGAACCUUACCAGGUCUUGACAUCCCUCUGACCGCUCUAGAGAUAGAGUUUUCCUUCGGGACAGAGGUGACAGGUGGUGCAUGGUUGUCGUCAGCUCGUGUCGUGAGAUGUUGGGUUCAGUCCCGCAACGAGCGCAACCCCUAUUGUUAGUUGCCAUCAUUUAGUUGGGCACUCUAGCGAGACUGCCGGUAAUAAACCGGAGGAAGGUGGGGAUGACGUCAAAUCAUCAUGCCCCUUAUGACCUGGGCUACACACGUGCUACAAUGGCUGGUACAACGAGUCGCAAGCCGGUGACGGCAAGCUAAUCUCUUAAAGCCAGUCUCAGUUCGGAUUGUAGGCUGCAACUCGCCUACAUGAAGUCGGAAUCGCUAGUAAUCGCGGAUCAGCACGCCGCGGUGAAUACGUUCCCGGGCCUUGUACACACCGCCCGUCACACCACGAGAGUUUGUAACACCCGAAGUCGGUGAGGUAACCGUAAGGAGCCAGCCGCCUAAGGUGGGAUAGAUGAUUGGGGUGAAGUCGUAACAAGGUAGCCGUAUCGGAAGGUGCGGCUGGAUCACCU